rnacentral:rRNA from 1 species
AUUCUCAGUUCGGAUUGUAGGCUGAAACUCGCCUACAUGAAGCUGGAGUUACUAGUAAUCGCAGAUCAGAAUGCUGCGGUGAAUGCGUUCCCGGGUCUUGUACACACCGCCCGUCACACCACGGAAGUUGGGGGCGCCCGAAGCCACUUAGCUAACCCUUUUGGGAAGCGAGUGUCGAAGGUGAAAUCAAUAACUGGGGUGAAGUCGUAACAAGGUAGC